AGCGGCGAACGGGUGAGUAAUACCUAGGAAUCUGCCUGAUAGUGGGGGACAACGUGUGGAAACGCACGCUAAUACCGCAUACGUCCUACGGGAGAAAGGGGGCUUUUCGGAGCUCUCGCUAACAGAUGAGCCUAGGUCAGAUUAGCUAGUUGGUAGGGUAAAGGCCUACCAAGGCGACGAUCUGUAGCGGGUCUGAGAGGAUGAUCCGCCACACUGGAACUGAGACACGGUCCAGACUCCUACGGGAGGCAGCAGUGGGGAAUAUUGGACAAUGGGCGAAAGCCUGAUCCAGCCAUGCCGCGUGUGUGAAGAAGGCCUUUUGGUUGUAAAGCACUUUAAGCGGGGAGGAGGGCACCAUGGUUAAUACCCAUGAAUGUCGGACGUUACCCGCAGAAUAAGCACCGGCUAACUCUGUGCCAGCAGCCGCGGUAAUACAGAGGGUGCGAGCGUUAAUCGGAAUUACUGGGCGUAAAGCGCGCGUAGGCGGCUUGUUAAGUCGGAUGUGAAAUCCCUGGGCUCAACCUAGGCAUUGCAUUCGAUACUGGCAAGCUAGAGUAUGGGAGAGGAAGGUAGAAUUCCAGUGUAGCGGUGAAUGCGUAGAGAUCUGGGAGGAUACCGAUGGCGAACGCAGCCUUCUGGCCUAAUACUGACGCUGAGUGCGAAGCAUGGGGAGCCAACAGAUAGAUACCCUGGUAGUCAUGCCGA
rnacentral:rRNA from 1 species